rnacentral:rRNA from 1 species
AACGAACGCUGGCGGCAGGCUUAACACAUGCAAGUCGAGCGCCCCGUAAGGGGAGCGGCAGACGGGUGAGUAACGCGUGGGAAUCUACCUAGCUCUACGGAAUAACCCAGGGAAACUUGGACUAAUACCGUAUACGCCCCUCGGGGGAAAGAUUUAUCGGAGUUGGAUGAGCCCGCGUUGGAUUAGCUAGUUGGUGGGGUAAUGGCCUACCAAGGCGACGAUCCAUAGCUGGUCUGAGAGGAUGAUCAGCCACACUGGGACUGAGACACGGCCCAGACUCCUACGGGAGGCAGCAGUGGGGAAUAUUGGACAAUGGGCGAAAGCCUGAUCCAGCCAUGCCGCGUGAGUGAUGAAGGCCCUAGGGUUGUAAAGCUCUUUCACCGGUGAAGAUAAUGACGGUAACCGGAGAAGAAGCCCCGGCUAACUUCGUGCCAGCCGCCGCCGUAACAC